UUUUAUUUCCUCGGUUUUCUUUUCUUAUUUCUUUUUCACCGACUGCCCUUUUCCGUGCUUCUUUCUUUUGAAUCUUCGAGUUGUCGAAUUUUUAUUUUUCUUUCUUUUUCUCGAUAUGUUUCUUUUAUUUCCUCGGUUUUCUUUUCUUAUUUCUUUUUCACCGACUGCCCUUUUCCGUGCUUCUUUCUUUUGAAUCUUCGAGUUGUCGAAUUUUUAUUUUUC
rnacentral:lncRNA from 1 species